AUGAGGGCCCCUGUGCAGCUCCUCAGCUUCCUGCUGCUCUGGCUCCCUAGUUCCAGGUGUGAUAUUCAGAUGAACCAGCCUUCAUCCGCGUAUGCAUCUCUGGGAGACAAAGUCACCAUCACCUGCAAGGCCAGUCAAAGCAUUAGCAAUUAUUUAGCCUGGUAUCAGCAGAAACCAGGGAAAGCUCCCAGGUGUCUCAUCUAUAGAGCAACCAACUUAGAAGCAGGCAUCCCUCCCCGGUUUAGUGGCAGUGGAUCUGGGACAGAUUUCACUCUCACCAUCAGCAACCUUAAGCCUGAGGAUGCUGCCAUUUAUUACUGUCAACAGCAUAAUAGUUACCCUCCCACAGUGAUACACGCGAGAACAUAA